UACGAAGGGUGCAAGCGUUACUCGGAAUUACUGGGCGUAAAGCGUGCGUAGGUGGUUUUUUAAGUCCGUUGUGAAAGCCCUGGGCUCAACCUGGGAAUGGCAGUGGAUACUGGAAAGCUAGAGUGCGGUAGAGGGUAGUGGAAUUCCCGGUGUAGCAGUGAAAUGCGUAGAGAUCGGGAGGAACACCAGUGGCGAAGGCGGCUUCCUGGACCAGCACUGACACUGAGGCACGAAAGCGUGGGGAGCAAACAGG
rnacentral:rRNA from 1 species